CAUAACGACUCUCGGCAACGGAUAUCUCGGCUCUCGCAUCGAUGAAGAACGUAGCGAAAUGCGAUACUUGGUGUGAAUUGCAGAAUCCCGUGAACCAUCGAGUCUUUGAACGCAAGUUGCGCCCCAGGCCGUUAGGCCGAGGGCACGCCUGCCUGGGUGUCACGC
rnacentral:rRNA from 1 species